UACGGGGGGGGCAAGCGUUGUUCGGAAUUACUGGGCGUAAAGGGCUCGUAGGCGGCCAACUAAGUCAGACGUGAAAUCCCUCGGCUUAACCGGGGAACUGCGUCUGAUACUGGAUGGCUUGAGUUCGGGAGAGGGAUGUGGAAUUCCAGGUGUAGCGGUGAAAUGCGUAGAUAUCUGGAGGAACACCGGUGGCGAAGGCGGCAUCCUGGACCAACACUGACGCUGAGGAGCGAAAGCCAGGGGAGCAAACGGG
rnacentral:rRNA from 1 species